rnacentral:rRNA from 1 species
AACUCUGAUGCAGCGAUGCCGCGUGAGUGAAGAAGGCCUUUGGGUUGUAAAGCUCUUUCGUCGGGGAAGAAAAUGACUGUACCCGAAUAAGAAGGUCCGGCUAACUUCGUGCCAGCAGCCGCGGUAAUACGAAGGGACCUAGCGUAGUUCGGAAUUACUGGGCUUAAAGAGUUCGUAGGUGGUUGAAAAAGUUGGUGGUGAAAUCCCAGAGCUUAACUCUGGAACUGCCAUCAAAACUUUUCAGCUAGAGUAUGAUAGAGGAAAGCAGAAUUUCUAGUGUAGAGGUGAAAUUCGUAGAUAUUAGAAAGAAUACCAAUUGCGAAGGCAGCUUUCUGGAUCAUUACUGACACUGAGGAACGAAAGCAUGGGUAGCGAAGAGGAUUAGAUACCCUCGUAGUCCAUGCCGUAAACGAUGUGUGUUAGACGUUGGAAAUUUGUUUUCAGUGUCGCAGCGAAAGCGAUAAACACACCGCCUGGGGAGUACGACCGCAAGGUUAAAACUCAAAUGAAUUGACGGGGACCCGCACAAGUAGUGGAGCAUGUGGUUUAAUUUCCGAAGAUACCGCGCAGAACCUUACCAACACUUGACAUGUUCGUCGCGACUCUAAGA